UACGUAGGGUGCAAGCGUUGCCCGGAUUUAUUGGGCGUAAAGAGCGCGCAGGCGGUCGUUCAAGUCGAGUGUGAAAGCCCCCGGCUCAACUGGGGAGGGUCACUCGAUACUGAUCGACUCGAAGGCAGGAGAGGGUAGUGGAAUUCCCGGUGUAGUGGUGAAAUGCGUAGAUAUCGGGAGGAACACCAGUGGCGAAGGCGACUACCUGGCCUGUUCUUGACGCUGAGGCGCGAAAGCUAGGGGAGCAAACGGG
rnacentral:rRNA from 1 species